rnacentral:rRNA from 1 species
UACGUAGGGUGCAAGCGUUAAUCGGAAUUACUGGGCGUAAAGCGUGCGCAGGCGGUUUUGUAAGUCUGUCGUGAAAGCCCCGGGCUCAACCUGGGAAUUGCGAUGGAGACUGCAAGGCUUGAAUCUGGCAGAGGGGGGUAGAAUUCCACGUGUAGCAGUGAAAUGCGUAGAGAUGUGGAGGAACACCAAUGGCGAAGGCAGCCCCCUGGGUCAAGAUUGACGCUCAUGCACGAAAGCGUGGGGAGCAAACAGG